CUCUCCUCCGAGGCACAGAGGGUUCCGAGGCGGCGCCUCUCGGUAGGGCUCGGUUCUCCCUCAGUACUCGGUCCCAAACUGAGGUUUUACCUUGAGAUGAACCAGAGGCAAGUGGCAGUUUCAGCAGCUUGAAGAGAGGCUGGGUCCUCAGCAGCCAGGGCACAUUCCUAUGGCAUCUGAACAGGGCAAGUCUGGUAACACCAAGAGAUACCAUCAGAAAGCAUAGACAAGGGACUAAGCAUCUGAGAUUGUCAAAUCACUGAAAAACAAAUUACUUUCAGGGCAAUUGUUUUUAAGCUGAACUUUAAAAAGGAAUGGAAUCCAGGAAAAAAAAAAUUACUAAAAGUCAUGCAGUUAAAAGGCAGAAAUAAGCUCCAAAAGUAACAUGUACAAAGGUAAUAUGCUUCAAGAUUAAUAGCUGCAAUCCAGUGCAAUUCAUCCUGCUGCACAAAGGACAGGCGCACAGGCAUUCCCUGCCUGCCACGUAUACAGGGAGCAGCCUGCAGAAGGAACACUCUGACACACAGAGGUGAAACCUGCAAACGCUUUAUUUAAAGAGUGCAAAGACCUAUGGAGUGAUAUCAAAGCAAGCACACAGGCAACACUCCAGAUCAGUUCAAGAGUCACAAAUGCAAAUCUAUCUGCAUGCAUUGAGUUAAUGUCCAAUCUCUCCACCCCCCUUGGUUUUCGUAGACAUGCGAGGAG